GAUUAAGUUAUUAAGGGCGCACGGUGGAUGCCUUGGCACUAGAAGCCGAUGAAGGACGUUACUAACGACGAUAUGCUUUGGGGAGCUGUAAGUAAGCUUUGAUCCAGAGAUUUCCGAAUGGGGAAACCCAGCAUGAGUUAUGUCAUGUUAUCGAUAUGUGAAUACAUAGCAUAUCAGAAGGCACACCCGGAGAACUGAAACAUCUUAGUACCCGGAGGAAGAGAAAGAAAAUUCGAUUCCCUUAGUAGCGGCGAGCGAAAU
rnacentral:rRNA from 1 species